GCGUAAAGGGCUCGCAGGCGGUUUCUUAAGUCUGAUGUGAAAGCCCCCGGCUCAACCGGGGAGGGUCAUUGGAAACUGGGGAACUUGAGUGCAGAAGAGGAGAGUGGAAUUCCACGUGUAGCGGUGAAAUGCGUAGAGAUGUGGAGGAACACCAGUGGCGAAGGCGACUCUCUGGUCUGUAACUGACGCUGAGGAGCGAAAGCGUGGGGAGCGAACAGGAUUAGAUACCCUGGUAGUCCACGCCGUAAACGAUGAGUGCUAAGUGUUAGGGGGUUUCCGCCCCUUAGUGCUGCAGCUAACGCAUUAAGCACUCCGCCUGGGGAGUACGGUCGCAAGACUGAAACUCAAAGGAAUUGACGGGGGCCCGCACAAGCGGUGGAGCAUGUGGUUUAAUUCGAAGCAACGCGAAGAACCUUACCAGGUCUUGACAUCCUCUGACAAUCCUAGAGAUAGGACGUCCCCUUCGGGGGCAGAGUGACAGGUGGUGCAUGGUUGUCGUCAGCUCGUGUCGUGAGAUGUUGGGUUAAGUCCCGCAACGAGCGCAACCCUUGAUCUUAGUUGCCAGCAUUCAGUUGGGCACUCUAAGGUGACUGCCGGUGACAAACCGGAGGAAGGUGGGGAUGACGUCAAAUCAUCAUGCCCCUUAUGACCUGGGCUACACACGUGCUACAAUGGACAGAACAAAGGGCAGCGAAACCGCGAGGUUAAGCCAAUCCCACAAAUCUGUUCUC
rnacentral:rRNA from 1 species